AACGAACGCUGGCGGCGCGCCUAAUACAUGCAAGUCGAGCGAGAAGACGUAGCAAUACGUUUGUAAAGCGGCGAACGGGUGAGGAAUGCAUGGGUAACCUACCCUCGAGUGGGGAAUAACUAGCCGAAAGGUUAGCUAAUACCGCGUACGCUCCUUGGACUUCGGUUCAGGGAGGAAAGCGAUACCGUGGGUAUCGCGCUCUUGGAUGGGCUCAUGUCCUAUCAGCUUGUUGGUGAGGUAACGGCUCACCAAGGCUUCGACGGGUAGCUGGUCUGAGAGGACGAUCAGCCACACUGGCACUGCGACACGGGCCAGACUCCUACGGGNGGCAGCAGUAAGGAAUAUUGCGCAAUGGGCGAAAGCCUGACGCAGCGACGCCGCGGUGGGGGAUGGAAGGUCUUCGGAUUGUAAACCCCCGUUUUCGGGAGGGAAGAUGGAACGAGCAAUCGUUCGGACGGUACCUCCAGAAGCAGCCACGGCUAACUU
rnacentral:rRNA from 1 species